rnacentral:lncRNA from 1 species
GCUGCAACAACGUUUAUGUAGAGCAUUUUUCUUUCUUGGGAAAAAGUGAGUCCGUGAUGGAUUAUGGAUGAAAUGAAGAAAUGGCAUUUUAAUUUGGAAAGUGCUUUCAUGAUUCACGGUGAAUGCAGAGCAUGAUGCAGGUCUUGGGUUCUUAAAUGCUAUUUUGUUUUUAUGAAUUUAAAAGUUUUUAGGUGAUGGGAUGUGACGUUGGUAGCCAUAGGGUAGCUAGUUUUUUUUUCUUUUCUUUUAUUUAGUUGAUAAAUAUUUGAUGGAAAGUGGUAGGUAUACGGUGCCAUGAUGCAGAGGAUGUGUCUACUUCAUUUACAAGAAUUUC